GACGAACGCUGGCGGCGUGCUUAACACAUGCAAGUCGAACGAUGAAGCCUUCGGGUGGAUUAGUGGCGAACGGGUGAGUAACACGUGGGUGACCUGCCCUUAGCUCUGGGAUAAGCCUGGGAAACUGGGUCUAAUACCGGAUAUGACUCCAUGACGCAUGUUGUGGGGUGGAAAGCCUUGUGCGGCUAGGGAUGGGCCCGCGGCCUAUCAGCUUGUUGGUGGGGUGAUGGCCUACCAAGGCGACGACGGGUAGCCGGCCUGAGAGGGCGACCGGCCACACUGGGACUGAGACACGGCCCAGACUCCUACGGGAGGCAGCAGUGGGGAAUCUUGCGCAAUGGGCGAAAGCCUGACGCAGCGACGCCGCGUGGGGA
rnacentral:rRNA from 1 species